rnacentral:sRNA from 1 species
UAUCCCCCAAACCAAGGGGGGAUGAGAACCACCGACCGGGGUUCGACAACUGGCGCAGCCAGUUGGACAGACCACGAGCUUGCGAGGAGACUGCCCGAAGGGCGAGCGCAGCGAGUCAAUCCCCCCCUCACCGCCA